rnacentral:rRNA from 1 species
GUGGGGAAUAUUGCGCAAUGGGGGAAACCCUGACGCAGCAACGCCGCGUGAAGGAAGAAGGCCUUCGGGUUGUAAACUUCUUUGAUGAGGGACGAAGGAAGUGACGGUACCUCAAGAACAAGCCACGGCUAACUACGUGCCAGCAGCCGCGGUAAUACGUAGGUGGCGAGCGUUGUCCGGAAUUACUGGGUGUAAAGGGCGCGUAGGCGGGGAUGCAAGUCAGAUGUGAAAUACCGGGGCUUAACUCCGGGGCUGCAUCUGAAACUGUGUUUCUUGAGUGUCGGAGAGGAAAGUGGAAUUCCCAGUGUAGCGGUGAAAUGCGUAGAUAUUGGGAGGAACACCAGUGGCGAAGGCGACUUUCUGGACGACAACUGACGCUGAGGCGCGAAAGCGUGGGUAGCAAACAGGAUUAGAAACCCUAGUAGUCC